rnacentral:rRNA from 1 species
GCCUUCGGGCUUAGUGGCGCACGGGUGCGUAACGCGUGGGAAUCUGCCCUUGGGUACGGAAUAACAGUGAGAAAUUGCUGCUAAUACCGUAUGAUGUCUUCGGACCAAAGAUUUAUCGCCCAGGGAUGAGCCCGCGUAGGAUUAGCUAGUUGGUGAGGUAAAGGCUCACCAAGGCUACGAUCCUUAGCUGGUCUGAGAGGAUGAUCAGCCACACUGGGACUGAGACACGGCCCAGACUCCUACGGGAGGCAGCAGUGGGGAAUAUUGGACAAUGGGCGAAAGCCUGAUCCAGCAAUGCCGCGUGAGUGAAGAAGGCCUUCGGGUUGUAAAGCUCUUUUACCCGGGAUGA